AUUGAACGCUGGCGGCAUGCCUUACACAUGCAAGUCGAACGGCAGCAUGGAGGAGCUUGCUCCUCUGAUGGCGAGUGGCGAACGGGUGAGUAAAGCAUCGGAACGUACCGUGUAGUGGGGGAUAACGUAGCGAAAGUUACGCUAAUACCGCAUACGCACUGAGGUGGAAAGCAGGGGAUCGCAAGACCUUGCGCUAUACGAGCGGCCGAUGUCAGAUUAGCUAGUUGGUGGGGUAAAGGCCUACCAAGGCGACGAUCUGUAGCGGGUCUGAGAGGAUGAUCCGCCACACUGGGACUGAGACACGGCCCAGACUCCUACGGGAGGCAGCAGUGGGGAAUUUUGGACAAUGGGGGAAACCCUGAUCCAGCCAUGCCGCGUGAGUGAAGAAGGCCUUCGGGUUGUAAAGCUCUUUCGGCUGGGAAGAAAUCGCACAGGCUAAUACUCUGUGUGGAUGACGGUACCAGCAUAAGAAGCACCGGCUAACUACGUGCCAGCCGCCGCAGUAA
rnacentral:rRNA from 1 species